CCUACGGUGUGCAGCAGUGAGGAAUAUUGGUCAAUGGACGAGAGUCUGAACAGCCAAGUAGCGUGAAGGAUGACUGCCCUUUGGGUUGUAAACCUCUUUUAUAUGGGAAUAAAAUGUUCCACGUGUGGGAUUUUGUAUGUACCAUAUGAAUAAGGAUCGGCUAACUCCGUUCAAGCAGCCGCGGUAAUACGGAGGAUCCGAGCGUUAUCCGGAUUUAUUGGGUUUAAAGGGAGCGUAGGUGGUUUGUUAUGUUAGUUGUGAAAGUUUGCGGCUCAACCGUAAAAUUGAAGUUGAAACUGGCAGUCUUGAGUACAGUAGAGGUGGGCGGAAUUCGUGGUGUAGCGGUGAAAUGCUUAGAUAUCACGAAGAACUCCGAUUGCGAAGGCAGCUCACUGGACUGCAACUGACACUGAGGCUCGAAAGUGUGGGUAUCAAACAGGAUUAGAUACCCUAGUAGUC
rnacentral:rRNA from 1 species